rnacentral:rRNA from 1 species
UACAGAGGGGGGCAAGCGUUGUUCGGAAUUACUGGGCGUAAAGGGCGCGUAGGCGGCCUGCUAAGUCGAACGUGAAAUCCCCGGGCUCAACCCGGGAACUGCGUCCGAUACUGGCAGGCUUGAAUCCGGGAGAGGGAUGUGGAAUUCCAGGUGUAGCGGUGAAAUGCGCAGAUAUCAGGAGGAACACCGGUGGCGAAGGCGGGUCUCUGGGCCGAUACUGACGCUGAGGAGCGAAAGCGUGGGGGAGCGAACAGG